rnacentral:rRNA from 1 species
GAAGGGCGACGUGCUAUACAUGCAAGUCGAGCGAAUCUUAGAGGUGCUUGCACCUUUUGGUUAGCGGCGGACGGGUGAGUAACACGUGGGCAACCUGCCUGUAAGACUGGGAUAACUUCGGGAAACCGGAGCUAAUACCGGAUAAUCCUUUUCCUCUCAUGAGGAAAAGCUGAAAGUCGGUUUACGCUGACACUUACAGAUGGGCCCGCGGCGCAUUAGCUAGUUGGUGAGGUAACGGCUCACCAAGGCGACGAUGCGUAGCCGACCUGAGAGGGUGAUCGGCCACACUGGGACUGAGACACGGCCCAGACUCCUACGGGAGGCAGCAGUAGGGAAUCUUCCGCAAUGGACGAAAGUCUGACGGAGCAACGCCGCGUGAGCGAUGAAGGCCUUCGGGUCGUAAAGCUCUGUUGUUAGGGAAGAACAAGUACCGGAGUAACUGCCGGUACCUUGACGGUACCUAACCAGAAAGCCACGGCUAACUACGUGCCAGCAGCCGCGGUAAUACGUAGGUGGCAAGCGUUGUCCGGAAUUAUUGGGCGUAAAGCGCGCGCAGGCGGUCCUUUAAGUCUGAUGUGAAAGCCCACGGCUCAACCGUGGAGGGUCAUUGGAAACUGGGGGACUUGAGUACAGAAGAGGAAAGCGGAAUUCCACGUGUAGCGGUGAAAUGCGUAGAGAUGUGGAGGAACACCAGUGGCGAAGGCGGCUUUCUGGUCUGUAACUGACGCUGAGGCGCGAAAGCGUGGGGAGCAAACAGGAUUAUAUACCCUGGUAGUCCACGCCGUAAACGAUGAGUGCUAAGUGUUAGAGGGUUCCGCCCUUUAGUGCUGCAGCUAAACGCAUUAAGCACUCCGCCUGGGGAGUACGGCCGCCAGGCUGAAACUUCAAAGAAUUGACGGGGGUCCCCACCAGGGUGGGAG